rnacentral:ncRNA from 4 species
ACCCCACUCCUGGUACCA